rnacentral:lncRNA from 1 species
UUGUUGACGGCAGUAUUAGUGAUUAAUUUGCUGCCAACCUACUCCGUAUGAUACAAAAUGACAAUGCUUAAAAUGAAGGAAGCUUUUAGAAAGCUAUGUAGGGAAGGAAGUUAGAAAAGGUAUAAAAUGAAGAUAUAUUUCAGAGAUUAUUAGUUCAAAUUUCCUAACAGUACUGUGGCAAAUCGUACACCUAAUAUCCCUUAUUUUGAAUAGGUCUAUGACAUUCAGUACAAUUUUGAGUUAUAUCAUCGUAGAAGGUAUACACCACAUCCUGUGCCGCCACCAUAAAUCUUCCUUCCUCUUGGUGUAAAAAUUAUUUAAAGGGAAACCACCACCAGCAACACCCCCCCCCCUCCCCCCAACAGUACUGUGGCAAAUCGUACACCUAAUAUCCCUUAUUUUGAAUAGGUCUAUGACAUUCAGUACAAUUUUGAGUUAUAUCAUCGUAGAAGGUAUACACCACAUCCUGUGCCGCCACCAUAAAUCUUCCUUCCUCUUGGUGUAAAAAUUAUUUAAAGGGAAACCACCACCAGCAACACAGCCCCCCCCCUCCCCCCAACAAAUAUUCAGGGGCCUAAACAUGCUAGAGUACAUGUGCAUAAUAAACUUGAGACCUAUCUAAUUCUAUAAUCAUUUCUUAUCACAUGCACAAUCACAAACAGGAUAUAUAUACGUGUUGACCUAACUUUUGAUGUCCCAUAAU